AGCCCGGCUGGACCCCGCUGCUUAACGGGGGGUCCUGCGGCAAAGAAAGUGGACGGGUUGCCACUUCUGUGCCUCCCCAUCAGGGGUUGGGAAACUAGUUUCCAUGGCCAAACCUAGCCCACCGUCUGUUUUGGUGUCCAUGGAUUGGCGGGGACAGCUCUGCUUAAGGAUGUAGUAGCUCUGCAGGUUGGCUAGUUUCCUGUUCUUCCCAACCUGCGCUAUGGACUUCAUCAGAUUUCAGCAUCAGAGAGAAUAUGGAAGGACAUCGACCCUAACUUCAUCCAGUGAGGAUUUCCACACACCAUACACUCUCUGAGAGUUCUCUUGGCUUUGUGUGCACACCUCCAGUGACAGGGAGCUCGCUAUGUCAUGAGGCAGCCUGCUCCCUUGUGGCUAUCACUGAACCAACUAUUAAGCCUUCUUAUACAAACAGUCCCUGACUUACUGUUAGACUUACAACUUUUUGAUUUUACAGUGGUGCAAAAGCAAUAUGCAUUCCAUAGAAACUGUAUUUCAAAUUUUGAAUUUUGAUCUUUUCCAGGCUAGCAACAUAUGAAGACCAACCUUCUAUUUUUAAAAUAGGCUUUGUGUUAGAUGCUUUUGCCCAACUAUAGGUUAAUGUAAAUGUUCUGAGAAUAUUUGAGGAAGGCUAGGCUAAACUGUGAUCUUUGGGAGCUUAGAUAUGUUAAGUGCAUUUUCAACUUACAAUAUUUUCAACUUACGAUGAGUUUAUUGGGAUGAAGCCCGUUGUAAGUAAAGGAGCAUCUGCAUUAAGCUAAAAUCCAUGUCUAUAACUUCCUCAGUAAUAUCAAGUUUGUUCCUUGGAGCCAGAGAAUAAACUGAAUCCUUUUCCAC
rnacentral:lncRNA from 1 species